UACGCAGGGUGCGAGCGUUGUCCGGAAUUAUUGGGCGUAAAGAGCUCGUAGGCGGUGUGUCACGUCGGCCGUGAAAACCUGCAGCUUAACUGUGGGCGUGCGGUCGAUACGGGCAUCACUGGAGUUCGGCAGGGGAGACUGGAAUUCCUGGUGUAGCGGUGAAAUGCGCAGAUAUCAGGAGGAACACCGGUGGCGAAGGCGGGUUCUCUGGGCCUACUGACGUCUGAGGAGCGAAAGCGUGGGGAGCAACAGG
rnacentral:rRNA from 1 species